AUAGUUGCAGGCUAUGAUAAUAUUAUGACCAAGAUUGUGGUUUCUGAAGGGUGAGACAUUUCCAUUGCACACUUUGAUGGGUUAAUUCCUGUGAUUUCCACAAAUGUGGGAAACUUAAUUACCUAAUUUGUUAUGGUGGGGGACUAUGUUUUAGCAGUUAUCAG